rnacentral:tRNA from 1 species
UAGAGGAUAGUAUAAUAGGUAGUUACUUAAAGUUUUGGGCUUUAAUGUAUAGGCUCGUAGCCUGUUCUUCUA